rnacentral:misc_RNA from 1 species
GAAAUGCGAUAAGUAAUGUGAAUUGCAGAAUUCAGUGAAUCAUCGAAUCUUUGAACGCACCAUGCGCUCCUUGGUAUUCCUUGGAGCAUGCCUGUUUGAGUAUCAUGAAAUCUUCAAAGUAAAUCUUUUGUUAACUCAAUUGGUUUCUACUUUGGUAUUGGAGGUCUUUGCAGCUUCACACCUGCUCCUCUUUGUUCAUUAGCUGGAUCUCAGUGUUAUGCUUGGUUCCACUCGGCGUGAUAAGUUAUCUGUCGCUGAGGACACUGUAAAAGGUGGCCAAGGUAAAUGCAGAUGAACCGCUUCUAAUAGUCCAUUGACUUGGACAAUACUUUUAUGAUCUGAUCUCAAAUCAGGUAGGACUACCCGCUGAACUUAAGC